GACGAACGCUGGCGGCGUGCUUAACACAUGCAAGUCAAGGAGAACAUCACCUUCGGGUGGUUAUUAAACUGGCGAACGGGUGAGUAACGCGUAGGCAACCUGCCUCUCAGUUGGGGACAGCCCCGGGAAACCGGGAUUAAUACCGAAUAUUUUCCCGCCCUGCAAGGAGCGGGAUGGAAGUGGUGCCGAUUUAUCGGUAUCACGCUGAGAGAUGGGCCUGCGUCUGAUUAGCUAGUUGGUGAGGUAACGGCUCACCAAGGCAUCGAUCAGUAGCUGGUUCGAGAGGAUGAUCAGCCACACUGGGACUGAGAUACGGCCCAGACUCCUACGGGAGGCAGCAGUGGGGAAUUUUGCGCAAUGGGCGAAAGCCUGACGCAGCAACGCCGCGUGAUCGACGAAGCUCUGAGGAGUGUAAAGAUCUGUCCCGGGGGAAGAACAACCCCGAUGCUCAUACCAUCGGGGCCUGACGGUACCCCGGAAGAAAGCCCCGGCUAACUUCGUGCCAGCAGCCGCGGUAAUACGAGGGGGGCGAGCGUUGUCCGGAUUCAUUGGGUGUAAAGGGCUCGUAGGCGGGCCGAUCAGUCGGAACUUAAAUCCCACGGCUCAACCGUAGACCUGGUUUCGAUACUGUCGGUCUUGAGUUCGGUAGAGGAAAGCGGAAUUCCUGGUGUAGCGGUGAAAUGCGUAGAUAUCAGGAAGAACACCGAAGGCGAAGGCAGCUUUCUGGGCCGACACUGACGCUGAGGGGCGAAAGCGUGGGUAGCGAACAGGAUUAGAUACCCUGGUAGUCCACGCCGUAAACGAUGAGUACUUGAUGGUGGGGGAUUCGACCCCUUCACUGUCGGAGCUAACGCGUUAAGUACUCCACCUGGGGACUACGGCCGCAAGGCUGAAACUCAAAGGAAUUGACGG
rnacentral:rRNA from 1 species